rnacentral:rRNA from 1 species
AUUGAACGCUGGCGGCAGGCCUAACACAUGCAAGUCGAACGCGUGGCGGACGGGUGAGUAAUGUCUGGGAAACUGCCCGAUGGAGGGGGAUAACUCCUGGAAACGGUAGCUAAUACCGCAUACCAUCGGAUGUGCCCAGAUGGGAUUAGCUUGUAGGUGAGGUAACGGCUCACCGAGGCGACGAUCCCUAGCUGGUCUGAGAGGAGGACCAGCCAACCGGGAACUGAGACACGGGCCAGGCUCCGACGGGAGGCAGCAGGGGGGAAUAUUGCACAAUGGGCGCAAGCCUGAUGCAGCCAUGCCGCGUGUAUGAAGAAGGCCUUCGGGUUGUAAAGUACUUUCAGCGGGGAGGAGUUACCCGCAGAAGAAGCACCGGCUAACUCCGUGCCAGCAGCCGCGGUAAUGC